UCACGCACAGGGCAAACCAUCCGAAAGGGUGGGACGCAAAGCUUCCGGCCUUAACCAUUUUAUAAAUGGAAGGUAGCGGGGUUACCGAU
rnacentral:ncRNA from 2 species